GGGGCCAUAGCUCAGCUGGGAGAGCGCCUGCCUUGCACGCAGGAGGUCAGCGGUUCGAUCACGCUUGGCUCCACCA
rnacentral:tRNA from 2 species